rnacentral:rRNA from 1 species
AUUGAACGCUGGCGGCAGGCCUAACACAUGCAAGUCGAGCGAGCGGCGGACGGGUGAGUAAUGUCUGGGAAACUGCCUGAUGGAGGGGGAUAACUACUGGAACCGGUAGCUAAUACCGCAUACCAUCAGAUGUGCCCAGAUGGGAUUAGCGAGUAGGUGGGGUAACGGCUCACCUAGGCGACGAUCCCUCGCUGGUCUGAGAGGAUGACCAGCCACACUGGAACUGAGACACGGUCCAGACUCCUACGGGAGGCAGCAGUAGGGAAUAUUCCACAAUGGGCGAAAGCCUGAGGCAGCAAUGCCGCGUGUGUGAAGAAGGCUUUCGGAUUGUAAAGCACUUUCAGCGGGGAGGCGUUACCCGAAGAAGAAGCACCGGCUAACUCCGUGCCAGCAGCCGCGGUAAUAC